rnacentral:rRNA from 1 species
AACGAACGCUGGCGGCAUGCCUAACACAUGCAAGUCGAACGAUCCCUUCGGGGAUAGUGGCGCACGGGUGCGUAACGCGUGGGAACCUGCCCUUAGGUUCGGAAUAACUCAGAGAAAUUUGAGCUAAUACCGGAUAAUGUCUUCGGACCAAAGAUUUAUCGCCUUUGGAUGGGCCCGCGUUGGAUUAGCUAGUUGGUGGGGUAAAGGCCUACCAAGGCGACGAUCCAUAGCUGGUCUGAGAGGAUGAUCAGCCACACUGGGACUGAGACACGGCCCAGACUCCUACGGGAGGCAGCAGUGGGGAAUAUUGGACAAUGGGCGAAAGCCUGAUCCAGCAAUGCCGCGUGAGUGAUGAAGGCCUUAGGGUUGUAAAGCUCUUUUACCCGGGAUGAUAAUGACAGUACCGGGAGAAUAGGCCCCGGCUAACUCCGUG